rnacentral:tRNA from 1 species
GAGAGUAUAGCUCAGUGGUGGAGUGCAUGUUUAACAUGCACAAGGUCCUGGGUUCAAUCCCCAGCACCUCCA